GGGGCGGGCUUUACGGAAUUAGGGAGACCACGGAAGACUGCAGAGUUUGGGAGCAGGGACUGUCUGGCUUGAACUGGCCAGUGGAGGAAUGUGAAUUCGGGGCGCGGGGCCCUUGGAAAUCGCGCUUGACAAAUGGAGGGUUUAGCUAUGCAGUCCAGGCUGGCCUUGAACUCAUGGUGAUCCUCCUGCCUCAGCCUCCAGAGUGCUGGUAAUACAGAUGGGAACCUGGAUGAUGAAUUCCCUUACUUACUCCUUUGGAGUGUAUUCUUAAACAAUAGAAUUUGGUGAACCCCCAGACUCUAAGAAAGCACCAUGUAGCCCUGGAGGCAUCACAGAAAAAUUUUUUUGAAAUGUGCAUUAUGGCAGGUAUAUAAUGCUCAUGUUUAUAUUUUGAAAGUAUUUCUAUUGAUGAAUUAUUAAUUUUAAUUUUAAUAGUUUUAUUAUAUCAAAC